CAGCCGCCGCGGUAAAACGGAAGGUCCGGGCGUUAUCCGGAUUUAUUGGGUUUAAAGGGAGCGUAGGCCGGGGAUUAAGUGUGUUGUGAAAUGUAGGCGCCCAACGUCUGACUUGCAGCGCAUACUGGUUCCCUUGAGUACGCGCAACGCCGGCGGAAUUCGUCGUGUAGCGGUGAAAUGCUUAGAUAUGACGAAGAACACCGAUUGCGAAGGCAGCCGGCGGGAGCGCAACUGACGCUGAAGCUCGAAGGUGCGGGUAUCGAACAGGAUUAGAUACCCGCGUAGUCCCUGUCUCUUAUAC
rnacentral:rRNA from 1 species